GACGAACGCUGGCGGCGUGCUUAACACAUGCAAGUCGAACGGUGACGGAGAGCUUGCUCUCCUGAUCAGUGGCGAACGGGUGAGUAACACGUGGGCAACCUGCCCAGACUUCGGGAUAACGCUUCGAAAGAGGUGCUAAUACCGGAUACGAGCUCCUUGGGCAUCCUUGGAGUUGGAAAGUUUUUCGGUCUGGGAUGGGCCCGCGGCCUAUCAGCUAGUUGGUGAGGUAACGGCUCACCAAGGCGACGACGGGUAGCCGGCCUGAGAGGGCGACCGGCCACACUGGGACUGAGACAGGCCCAGACUCCUACGGGAGGCAGCAGUGGGGAAUAUUGCGCAAUGGGCAAAGCCUGACGCAGC
rnacentral:rRNA from 1 species